GGAUGACCUGCCCUUGGGACCGGCAUAACCCCGGGAAACUGGGGAUAAUUCCGGAUAACGCACAUAUGCUGGAAUGCUUUCUGCGUAAAAUGGAUUCGUCCGCCCAAGGAUGGGUCUGCGGCCUAUCAGGUAGUAGUGGGUGUAAUGUACCUACUAGCCUACAACGGGUACGGGUUGUGAGAGCAAGAGCCCGGAGAUGGAUUCUGAGACAUGAAUCCAGGCCCUACGGGGCGCAGCAGGCGCGAAAACUUUACAAUGCGGGAAACCGUGAUAAGGGGACACCGAGUGCUAGCAUCAUAUGCUGGCUGUCCAGGUGUGUAAAAUACACCUGUUAGCAAGGGCCGGGCAAGACCGGUGCCAGCCGCCGCGGUAACACCGGCGGCCCGAGUGGUGAUCGUGAUUAUUGGGUCUAAAGGGUCCGUAGCCGGUUUGGUCAGUCCUCCGGGAAAUCUGAUAGCUCAACUAUUAGGCUUUCGGGGGAUACUGCCAGGCUUGGAACCGGGAGAGGUAAGAGGUACUACAGGGGUAGGAGUGAAAUCUUGUAAUCCCUGUGGGACCACCUGUGGCGAAGGCGUCUUACCAGAACGGGUUCGACGGUGAGGGACGAAAGCUGGGGGCACGAACCGGAUUAGAUACCCGGGUAGUCCCAGCCGUAAACGAUGCUCGCUAGGUGUCAGGCAUGGCGCGACCGUGUCUGGUGCCGCAGGGAAGCCGUGAAGCGAGCCACCUGGGAAGUACGGCCGCAAGGCUGAAACUUAA
rnacentral:rRNA from 1 species